AGCGAGUGGCGAACUGGUGAGUAACACGUGGGGAAUCUGCCCAGAAGCAGGGGAUAACACUUGGAAACAGGUGCUAAUACCGUAUAACAACAAAAUCCGCAUGGAUUUUGUUUGAAAGGUGGCUUCGGCUAUCACUUCUGGAUGAUCCCGCGGCGUAUUAGUUAGUUGGUGAGGUAAAGGCCCACCAAGACGAUGAUACGUAGCCGACCUGAGAGGGUAAUCGGCCACAUUGGGACUGAGACACGGCCCAAACUCCUACGGGAGGCAGCAGUAGGGAAUCUUCCACAAUGGACGAAAGUCUGAUGGAGCAAUGCCGCGUGAGUGAAGAAGGGUUUCGGCUCGUAAAACUCUGUUGUUAAAGAAGAACACCUUUGAGAGUAACUGUUCAAGGGUUGACGGUAUUUAACCAGAAAGCCACGGCUAACUACGUGCCAGCAGCCGCGGUAAUACGUAGGUGGCAAGCGUUGUCCGGAUUUAUUGGGCGUAAAGCGAGCGCAGGCGGUUUUUUAAGUCUGAUGUGAAAGCCUUCGGCUUAACCGGAGAAGUGCAUCGGAAACUGGGAGACUUGAGUGCAGAAGAGGACAGUGGAACUCCAUGUGUAGCGGUGGAAUGCGUAGAUAUAUGGAAGAACACCAGUGGCGAAGGCGGCUGUCUAGUCUGUAACUGACGCUGAGGCUCGAAAG
rnacentral:rRNA from 1 species